GGAUCUCUAUCCAGAGAUCACUCCUCUUGGAGCCCUUUGGUGAGCUCAGGACACAGAUUUGUGAGCUUUCUUUCAGGAACACAACUUUUCUUCCAUCACAUUUGUUUGGUUUUUACUUCCUGCUUGGGGAAGCUGUGGUACUGGAAGAUGAUGGCUCAUCUCCACAGAUGACAGCAGCACAGAUUCCAGUCUCUGAAUCUCUCCACCAUUCAUAUAUUGCAGUUACUGAAGAUUUGACUCUCAUGCUGUUGAUAAAGAAUAUCAUGUUUCUUGUGUGUAGAGCAGAGCAAUUGGUGCUGAAUGGCAUGGAAAAUAGCUACUGGAAAGCAGAGCCCUUUGGGGUUUCAAGAUGUGACAAGCAGGAACAACCUGACAUUGGGAGUGUCAGACACUGCAAAGACGACUGAACAUAAAUUAUGUAUUCCAGAGAGCCUUUGAUUUCACAGAUGUACGAAGGAUUUGGCAUAGUUGUCCUCUGGUGAUUAAAAUAUUCAAAUAGCCCAUAAUUUACUACUAAGGACUGAAAACUGGACUGGGAUUCAGAAAACCUGGAUUUCAUUUCUGAGUCUGUGUGAGCCUUGAUAGAGGACCUUGAGCAGUCGCUUCUCCGUCUUAUUUUUCUCUUCUAGAAAACUAUGUUUGACUCUACUGAUGAAAAGCAAAACAUAAUAGAUGUAAUUAUUAUGAUUUUUAUUUGUUGUAAAUAUUAUGCUGUACUUCAUAAAAUAUCUUU